GCCGCAGUGGCGAAAUGGCAGACGCGGCGGACUUAAACUCCGCUGGUGAAUAACCGUGUGGGUUCGACCCCCACCUGCGGCACCA
rnacentral:tRNA from 1 species